AUGAACGCUGGCGGCGUGCCUAAUACAUGCAAGUCGAGCGAACAGACGAGGAGCUUGCUCCUCUGACGUUAGCGGCGGACGGGUGAGUAACACGUGGAUAACCUACCUAUAAGACUGGGAUAACUUCGGGAAACCGGAGCUAAUACCGGAUAAUAUAUUGAACCGCAUGGUUCAAUAGUGAAAGACGGUUUUGCUGUCACUUAUAGAUGGAUCCGCGCCGCAUUAGCUAGUUGGUAAGGUAACGGCUUACCAAGGCAACGAUGCGUAGCCGACCUGAGAGGGUUGUCCGCCACCCCGGGACUGAGGCACCGUCCAAACCCCUACGGGGGGCCGCAGUAAGGAAUCUUCCCGCAUGGGCCGAAGCCUUACCGGACAAACGCCGCUGGGUUGAGGAAGUCUUCCGGUCCUUAAAACUUUGUAUUAGGGAAAGACAAAUUUGUAAGUUACCAUGCACGUUUUGACGGUACCUUAUCAGAAAGCCACGGCUAACUACGUG
rnacentral:rRNA from 1 species